rnacentral:lncRNA from 1 species
GGGGUACCGCGCUAGGAAUUUGUGGCAUAGCAACCCCAAGCUCUUCUCCUUCCGACUCGGCUGGGAUUUCUCAAAUUCGUCUCCUGAUAAGUGUUCCUGCAGAGGGAAAGGUCAUCCCAUGAAACUCCAUGCCAGCCCUCCUCUGCCACAUCAUAGUGCCUUUAUUCAUAUCACAGCCCCUGCUGGCAGGAGCUAAACGCAAAGCUGGAACCACACUUGUCAAGCAACGUCGAUGGUGGACACGUUCAGAUGGACACCGUCCGUCAGCUUGGCUGACAGUCCCGGUUCAGAACACCACUUUUCCUAACUUGAGGGCGGGGCAUAUGAUGGGCCAGCUUACAUCCCGGAGCACAGUGACCCUUUCAGAACUGACAACCAGCGCCGUCCAUCACUUUCCCUCCGAGUGAGCCCAGGAGAGGCACCUACCUCUCCAUGCUUCAGAUAUUGGGAAGGAUCUGUGAAAGAAGCUGAAAGUGGGAGAAGGGCAGGAACCACCUGUCCAAUUCCAGAUGCCUGCUGGGAGCGUGGCUGGAGAGUUUGUACAUUUGUCCCUGUUUCUUAUGUUUAACAUAGAGACUUCUUUGGGCAGCCUUGGGCUUGCCCCAGCCAUUUGACUCUGGUACAGUCUCACACUGCUUUGUCAUACCAUGUCACAGCAGAAGGUCGAGAUCAGUGGCAAGCACUCAUUCCUCCAGGGAAACCUGUAAAACAGGAAGGGCAGGAAUUAUUCCCUUAUUUUUCACAAGGAACAAUAAGGAAAAAAGGAAAAUAAGGCCUAUCCAUCUGUCCCUCCAUCCGUCUGUCCACUCAUCCAUUCAUCCAUCUUGCUUUAACUCAGCUAAAAUUUAUUAGUGCACUCCCGUGUUCUAGGAACUGUGAAGUGAAAAGGGGAAAGGAGGUUUUGGAAAAGCUCCUGGGAGAGUAUACAAAUCCAUACAGGAAAAGGGGCGACCAUGGCUCCGGGUUUUUAGAAAGUUGGCAUGUCAUGGCAGGCUGUGGCCAGUAGGUGGCGCUCAGGUUUCCAGACGAUCCAACCGUUUGUAUAGUCCAAAGCUUUCAUUUUCAUAUCCAUUACUGUGUCUGAAAUCAAAUUCUAAGACAUAUUGAAAGACUAUAUUCAAUUUUAUUUUAAUUCAACUUAUUUGCUGUUAAUUGUUCCAUGCUUUUUAAAAAAUGGACAAAUUAAAUCUGGUUGUGUUAUG